GCCCUGCUGUAGUGGUUUGCAUGUUGGACUACAAUUCUGGAGAUCCUGGGUUCGAUUCCCAGCUCAGCCA